rnacentral:rRNA from 1 species
UACGUAGGGUGCAAGCGUUGUCCGGAAUUAUUGGGCGUAAAGAGCUCGUAGGCGGUCUGUUACGUCGGCUGUGAAAGCCCGGGCUCAACUCCGGAAUUGCCUUAAGACUGCAUCGCUAGAAUUGUGGAGAGGUAAGUGGAAUUCCGAGUGUAGAGGUGAAAUUCGUAGAUAUUCGGAAGAACACCAGUGGCGAAGGCGACUUACUGGACACAUAUUGACGCUGAGGUGCGAAAGCGUGGGAGCAACAGG